rnacentral:rRNA from 1 species
GACGAACGCUGGCGGCGUGCCUAAUACAUGCAAGUAGAACGCUGAAGCGAGGAGCUUGCUCUUCUUGGAUGAGUUGCGAACGGGUGAGUAACGCGUAGGUACCCUGCCUUGUAGCGGGGGAUAACUAUUGGAAACGAUAGCUAAUACCGCAUAACAAUGGAUGACACAUGUCAUUUAUUUGAAAGGGGCAAUUGUUCCACUACAAGAUGGACCUGCGUUGUAUUAGCUAGUAGGUGAGGUAAUGGCUCACCUAGGCGACGAUACAUAGCCGACCUGAGAGGGUGAUCGGCCACACUGGGACUGAGACACGGCCCAGACUCCUACGGGAGGCAGCAGUAGGGAAUCUUCGGCAAUGGGGGCAACCCUGACCGAGCAACGCCGCGUGAGUGAAGAAGGUUUUCGGAUCGUAAAGCUCUGUUGUAAGUCAAGAACGGGUGUGAGAGUGGAAAGUUCACACUGUGACGGUAGCUUACCAGAAAGGGACGGCUAACUACGUG